UGGUAAUAUUGAACCCUUUGCCUAGUGCUGAACCUUGCAUCAAUUACAUGUUCACACGUAGUGCUCAGUUUUUUACAGAAGAUUAAGGUGUCUAGCCGAGAUGGUUAACCACUAUUCAUGUGAAGAUAACAUGUGUUUCAUUCAAUUUCAGAAGUUUGUGGACUGAGCUUGGUUUGUGGCGUUCAAGUGCUACAAUGGUUGCCAAGCCACACUGAGUGCAACAAGUUUGAAAGAAAUUGCUUCUGGAGCGACGGCUCGGUGUUGGAAUCGGAUGAGCACGUUAUUCUAGUUGGGCGUCGUUGUCAGAUCUUUUGUAGGCUCGUUAGUUGCAUUACAGUGUUGCCUAAGUUCUGACGUAGUUCGGCAUAUGCAUCAGGGUGUCGUGAAAUCGCCU